CUGCUAGGGAAGGCAUCGAGCUUGAGGAAGAGGCCUCAUUCAUCUCCGUACCCCAGGCCCUAGUACACAGCAGCUCCAGGUGGGCACGCAUCUUUGUUGUGUUCUCUGCUGACUGUAUCCUCAGCACCUAGAACUGUCUGUCACCUAAUAGAUGCUCACAAGAAUGCGGUGUGUCAGGAGAAGCAAAUCCCAAAUGAGAUAAACCUGCCAGUAAUUUCAGCAAAUGAAACGUGGAACACGUCAAGGCCAGAGGAUGGAAAAGGCUCCAGUUUUGAUAAAAGGAGGCCUGCUUGGCUUGGAAUCCUCUCUCCUGCUGGUUGGGAGAUGCAAAGAUGUUUCCAGAGAGGGGCUGAUGAAUUGAGGGGAAAGAAAUGAGCCCAGUAUGAGUCCCCUUUCAGGGCUGAGUGUGUAUAAAACCAAACAACUUGGAACCGCUCCAAGAGAGGGGAUUAAAGCAACAUGUUAUUCUGA
rnacentral:lncRNA from 1 species